rnacentral:rRNA from 1 species
GUGCCAGCAGCCGCGGUAAUACCGGAGGGUGCGAGCGUUAAUCGGAAUUACUGGGCGUAAAGGGCGCGUAGGCGGUCGCGCAAGUCGGGUGUGAAAGCCCCGGGCUCAACCUGGGAAUUGCAUUCGAUACUGCGUAACUAGAGCCUGGUAGAGGGAAGCGGAAUUCCGCAUGUAGCGGUGAAAUGCGUAGAUAUGCGGAGGAACACCAGUGGCGAAGGCGGCUUCCUGGACCAAGACUGACGCUGAGGCGCGAAAGCGUGGGGAGCAAACAGGAUUAGAUACCCUGGUAGUCCACGCCCUAAACGAUGAGGACUAGACGUUGGGGGGAUAAAACCCCUUAGUGUCGCAGCUAACGCGUGAAGUCCUCCGCCUGGGGAGUACGACCGCAAGGUUGAAACUCAAAGGAAUUGACGG